GAUGAACGCUGGCGGCGUGCCUAAUACAUGCAAGUCGAGCGAACAGACGAGGAGCUUGCUCCUCUGACGUUAGCGGCGGACGGGUGAGUAACACGUGGAUAACCUACCUAUAAGACUGGGAUAACUUCGGGAAACCGGAGCUAAUACCGGAUAAUAUAUUGACCGCAUGGGUUAAUAGGUGAAGGCCGGUUUUCUUGUCACUAUUAGAUGAAUCCCCGCCCCUUUAGCUAGUUGGUAAGGUAACGGCUUACCAAGGCAACGAUGCGUAGCCGACCUGAGAGGGUGAUCGGCCACACUGGAACUGAGACACGGUCCAGACUCCUACGGGAGGCAGCAGUAGGGAAUCUUCCGCAAUGGGCGAAAGCCUGACGGAGCAACGCCGCGUGAGUGAUGAAGGUCUUCGGAUCGUAAAACUCUGUUAUUAGGGAAGAACAAAUGUGUAAGUAACUAUGCACGUCUUGACGGUACCUAAUCAGAAAGCCACGGCUAACUACGUG
rnacentral:rRNA from 1 species